CGCUUCUGGGCGCUCAGUUUCCCCAUGUGUAGGCUGGAUCGUGUGAGGUGGAGAUGAGUUAUUGGGUGAGAGAUUCUUCCAGUCACAGGAGCACAGGGAUUAAACACACAGCCUCUGACACCAACUCCCUGGGUUCUAAUUGCACUUCCAAGUUUAUGAGCUGGCCAGUUAGCUUCCCUGUGCCUCAGUUUCCUCAACUGUAAAAUACUGAUCAAACUCAUGACCUCAUGCUAGACAAGUACUCAGGAUGAUCUACAUCCCCAGCCCCAACUAUGCUAUUUUAUAGAAGGGACUAGAACAUCUUUCGAUCUUGGUAUCUGAGGAGGGUUAUCCUGGACCCAAUUCCCCAGGGUACUAGGGGAUGACGUUAUGAAAGUGCGGCCUGGAGGAAGUGGCUGUCUCCUAAAAUGGCAAAAGACUGCAUUCCUCUAGGGACCUUCUGAUUUUCAAGACAGGAUCCUCUUCUCUCACCCUUCCUUUGCAGAGAGCAAGAAGUGACUGCAAUGAAAACAAAAUAGAAGUUGUUGCAAAGGCUUCUGUGCCUAAUAUUCCCUAGAAUAUUAUUUAUAGUAAAUUCUGGCAUUAUUCUUUAUUUCUAUUUUCUAAGAAAGUUGUUCUUGCCUUCCUCUUUCCUUCAUUCCUUCUUUCCUUUUUCUUUCUUUCUUGUGACCACAAGCUGUGGCUGUGCGCUGUGUGGAGCACCUUUCUGCUGCAAAACACCUCCUGUAGAGUCUUUCCUUGGUGCUUGGCCCCUGGAAAGGCCUCUUGGAGGAUUCUGAGGAGUCAAAGACCCACAGAGCUGUGCGUUUGCUGCGCUGUGGGGCCUACACAGUCAUCUUGCUGUGCCCUAACAACUCUGGAAAUGGUAACCAGAAAUGGAGUAGAGGGAUUAUUCAUGGUGAGUCCAGUGGCCAGGCAAAGCGAGACAUAUAUGCCACCUGUCAACUUGUGAGAAUGAUAGAGCAGGCUUUUGAAGUUGGGAUGUUCAUUCCAGGUCACUACCGUCCCACUACCUACCUACCUACCUACCUACCUUCGUAUCUGUGACAGAACUGGACUACUCAGAACACUCCUCCUAGUUCCAACUAUGCUAGUACAGAGGGGAGGACACCUGGUCGCUCAGGAACAUUAUCAACUCAAGGGAGGAUUUCUAGCCAUCAGUAAGUUGCGUUUGGGCCCGGGAUUUAGCUCAGUGGCACUGCACCUGCCUUGCAAGUGCAAGGUCCUGAGUUCGAUCCCUAGUACCAAAAACAAAAACAAAAUAAUAAUAAGUUGGAUCUACUGUCCAGGGCCUAGUGUUAUAUAUUCACUCAUUAAUUCAAAUAUUUAAUGAUCAACCUACUGUGGGCUAAGUUCAGUUUUUCUAUGGGAGAAAGCAAGAGAUAUAAAAGAAAUGGGGAUAGGGGAGAUC